AACGCGAAGAACCUUACCCAGGCUUGACAUGCAGUGGAAGACAGCAGAAAUGUUGUCGCUCUUCGGAGCCGCUGCACAGGUGCUGCAUGGCUGUCGUCAGCUCGUGCCGUGAGGUGUUGGGUUAAGUCCCGCAACGAGCGCAACCCUUAUCGUCAGUUGCCAACACGUAAUGGUGGGAACUCUGGCGAGACUGCCCGGGUUAACCGGGAGGAAGGUGAGGAUGACGUCAAGUCCGCAUGGCCCUUAUGUCUGGGGCUACACACGUGCUACAAUGGUCGGUACAGAAGGCAGCGAAACCGCGAGGUGGAGCAAAUCCCAAAAGCCGGCCCCAGUUCAGAUUGUAGUCUGCAACUCGACUACAUGAAGAUGGAAUUGCUAGUAAUGGCGAGUCAGCAACAUCGCCGUGAAUACGUUCCCGGGCCUUGUACACACCGCACUACUA
rnacentral:rRNA from 1 species